rnacentral:rRNA from 1 species
UACGGAGGGUGCGAGCGUUAUCCGGAAUUACUUGGUUUAAAGGGUGCGUAGGCGGCCAUGUAAGUCAGGAGUGAAAGUUUGCGGCUCAACCGUAAAAUUGCUUUUGAUACUGCAUGGCUGGAAUCAGGAUGAGGUCAGCGGAAUGUGGCAUGUAGCGGUGAAAUGCAUAGAUAUGCCAUAGAACACCAAUUGCGAAGGCAGCUGGCUAGACCUGUAUUGACGCUGAGGCACGAAAGCGUGGGGAGCGAACAGG